CACCAUCUGCGAAGCGAUCUAUGCUUUCAAUUGCCUGCAAGUAACUAGAGCGUAAUGGACGUGAUCGUGAGCGGAGUACACAAGCAAAAAGUUUAACAACUUCUAGCCGGUAAAGAACUAUUGAACUUUAAAAAAAUUAAAAUAAAAGCAGGAUUACAAACAAAAGGAUAAAAAACUUUGAAGGCAAGACGUCAGCGUGAAUUUUUUAAAUAAAAAACAGCACACUACACUAAUCCGCAACUCAGAUCUGCAAUAAUAUGGUUGGGGCAUUUUGAUAUGGUUUACAGAUGAUUAGAGGCAAUUUAAUAUGGUGUUGAGAGGAUUUUCGAUUAUUUAAAAUUAUUUGUGGAUAUCUAAGGUUUUUAUGAGGUUCCUAUCAAUUUAAUAUGGUUUCAUAGAUGGUUGGCGCAUUUUAAUUUGGUUUACAGAUGAUUGAGGCAAUUUAAUAUGUUUUUAAGAGGAUUUUCGAUUAUUUAAUAUUUUUUUAUGAAUACCUAAGGUUUUUAUGAGUUUCCUUUCAAUUUAAUAUAGUUUCAUAGAUGGUUGGCGCAUUUUAAUAUGGUUUACAGAUGGUUGGAGCAAUUUAAUAUGGUUUUGAGAGGAUUUUCGAUUAUUUAAUUUUUUUUUAUGAAUACCUAAGGUUUUUAUGAGUUUCCUUUCAAUUUAAUAUAGUUUCAUAGAUGGUUGGCGCAUUUUAAUAUGGUUUACAGAUGGUUGGAGCAAUUUAAUAUGGUUUUGAGAGGAUUUUCGUAUAUUUAAUAUUUUUUGUGGAUACCUAAGGUUUUUAUGAGUUUCCUUUCAAUUUAAUAUGGUUUCAUAGAUGGUUGGGGUAUUUUAAUAUGGUUUCAUAGAUGGUUGGGGUAUUUUAAUAUGGUUUUGAGAGGAUUUUCGAUUAUCUAAUGUUUUUUUUAGGUUUUCAAGAAUUUAUUUAAGAAAUUUUCAGCAAUUUAGUAAUGUCAGUAGAUUUUAAUAUGGUUUUGAAAUGAUUUUGAUAAUUAUUACCUAUAAUUUUGUUAGUCAUUGUGGUUUUAUUCAGUAUAUUGAAAUUUUAUUUUAUUUAUAUCUUUAUUUAGUUACUUUUAGGUUUGUUUUUCAGUUUUUACAAGCUUUUAUCUACAAAUUGUAACAAUUUUUUGACAAUAAAGGAAUUCUCUCUA